CCUACGGGUGGCAGCAGUGGGGGAUAUUGCACAAUGGGGGAAACCCUGAUGCAGCGACGCCGCGUGGGGGAAGACGGUCCUCUGGAUUGUAAACCACUGUCCCCAGGGACGAAGAUGACGGUACCGGGGGAGGAAGCGCCGGCUAACUACGUGCCAGCAGCCGCGGGAAUACGGAGGGAGCGAGCGUUGUCCGGAAUUACUGGGUGUAAAGGGAGCGGAGGCGGGACUGCAAGUUGGGUGUCAAAUCUACCGGCUCAACCGGUAGCCGCACUCCAAACUGCAGUUCUUGAGUGAAGUAGAGGCAGGCGGUCUUCCUCGUGUCGCGGUGCAAUGCGUAGAUAUUAGGAGGAACCCCAGUGGCGAAGGCGGCCUGCUGGGCUUUUCCUGCCGCUGAGGCUCGAAAGUGUGGGGAGCACACCGGAUUAGAUCCCCCUGUAGUC
rnacentral:rRNA from 1 species